rnacentral:tmRNA from 1 species
CUGCCACAAUGAACGAGUCCGGUUUCGGCCGGACUAGGUGGCUCACACCGGUGUUUCGGACAGCGGUUCGAUUCCGCUCAGCUCCAUUUCCUCCGCUUCCGGCCUUCAGCCGGAGCCAUCGCGGGGCUGCAAUGGUUUCGACGGGGCAUGAGGAGGGUGACUGAAGCCUGCUCGGUCAGAGCAAAUCC